UAAGAACCACUGCCGCCGACCGAGGCGCGCGC
rnacentral:sRNA from 1 species